CAGCAGUAGCCACGGUAAUACGAAGGGUGCAAGCGUUAAUCGGAAUUACUGGGCGUAAAGCGUGCGUAGGCGGCUUGUUAAGUCUGCUGUGAAAUCCCCGGGCUCAACCUGGGAAUGGCAGUGGAUACUGGCAAGCUAGAGUGUGUCAGAGGAUGGUGGAAUUCCCGGUGUAGCGGUGAAAUGCGUAGAGAUCGGGAGGAACAUCAGUGGCGAAGGCGGCCAUCUGGGACAACACUGACGCUGAGGCACGAAAGCGUGGGGAGCAAACAGGAUUAGAUACCCGUGUAGUCCCUGUCUCUUAUAC
rnacentral:rRNA from 1 species